ACAGAGCCGCAGAAAACUAUUUAGUUUUAUGUUAAAUGUGGGCUAUGUUUUGUUGCCUGAAAUAGCAUAUCAUUUUUCCUACAAGAAAAGCACAAAUAUCUUAAAAUAAAGCAAAACUUUAGGUCAAAAAGUUGCAAAUGGCUUUUAAAAUAUUAAAAAUCUAUGCAUCUUUGUUCAGAACAACUUUUAAUAAUUGGAAGAGAAAAUGGAUACCUGUUCUUACUGUAUUGGUUGUCAGACACGUACAAUGUCGAUAACGUAAAAGUUAUUAUUGAAAAGUGAAAAAAUAGAGAGGGUAUUGAAGGAAAUGUUUGUACAUUUUUAAAAAGUUUGUUAACGUAACACAUGUAAGAAUGCCAAGAUCCAUUGAAAGAAAUGUGUUGCCAUACUUGUAACUUUAAUAUUAAUGAAACUUUUGGUUGAUGCACGUAUAAUUACAAGGCAUGUAAAAUAUACAUUCAUGAUAUUCAUUUGUUUGUUAAAGAUUUGCGACUACCGGUACCAUGGCAAAUAGCGUUCCUUAGUUUGGGAUUUUUUAAACGUAUUACUGAGAAUUUUCCUUUUUUUUUUUUUUUACUUUGAACUGUCAAUCUUUUGGCUGUUGAAUCGCUGUUGUGGAGAGAGACUCGCAUCAAGAUGUCACCUUGGUGUUAAAUUAUUAAAGAAUAAAAUGUUGAUUUUU
rnacentral:misc_RNA from 1 species